rnacentral:rRNA from 1 species
GUUUGAUCAUGGCUCAGAUUGAACGCUGGCGGCAGGCCUAACACAUGCAAGUCGAGCGGUAACAUGUCUAGCUUGCUAGAUGAUGACGAGCGGCGGACGGGUGAGUAAUGCUUGGGGAUCUGCCUUAGAGUGGAGGAUAACCAUUGGAAACGAUGGCUAAUACUGCAUAGUAUCUGCGGAUUAAAGGGGGCUUAGGCUCUUGCUUUAAGAUGAACCCAAGUGGGAUUAGCUAGUUGGUGAGGUAAUGGCUCACCAAGGCGACGAUCCCUAGCUGGUCUGAGAGGACGAUCAGCCACACUGGAACUGAGACACGGUCCAGACUACUACGGGAGGCAGCAGUGGGGAAUAUUGCACAAUGGGCGCAAGCCUGAUGCAGCCAUGCCGCGUGUAUGAAGAAGGCCUUCGGGUUGUAAAGUACUUUCAGUGGGGAGGAAGGUGUUGUCGUUAAUAGCGGCAGCAUUUGACGUUACCCACAGAAGAAGCACCGGCUAACUCCGUGCCAGCAGCCGCGGUAAUACGGAGGGUGCGAGCGUUAAUCGGAAUUACUGGGCGUAAAGCGCAUGCAGGUGGUUCAUUAAGUCAGAUGUGAAAGCCCGGGGCUCAACCUCGGAACCGCAUAGAAACUGGUGAACUAGAGUGCUGUAGAGGGGGGUAGAAUUUCA